AAGAAAGUUGCUUCCAGGUUUCUCUGUGGAUGAUGGUCCUAGCCAGUAAAUGAAGGUGCCUGUUACAUUGGUGGAAUACUGAAGUUAUUUUUACAGCAUUUGUCUCCUGAGACAGAAGGAUAAUGAGGAAGAGGGUCUCAACUAGAUGGGUUUUCAUUUUGGCUCUGUUCUCUGACACUGUUAAGCUGGAAUUGAGAACUGAGCAUGAAGAAAGGAACCCAAAGCACAGGACAAAUCUGGCUGUUCUUGGAACACAGCCACCUCUGAGAUAUUUUGACUUUUCCCUGAAG